CGAGUUGGCUGGGCGGUCGCUGUUUAGAUAACAGAGGAAAGUCCGGGCUCCAAAGAGUAGAAUGCUAGGUAACGCCUAGGAGACGUGAGUCUACGGAAAGUGCCACAGAAAAUAUACCGCCUUAAAAGGGUAAGGGUGAAAAGGUGUGGUAAGAGCGCACCGCAUUACACAGUAAUGGCAAGGUAAACCCCAUUCGGAGCAAGACUAAAUAGGAGAGCGCGCAAAAUUUAUUUUGCCUAUGUGUGACUCGCACGAGCUCUUGGGUAAGUCGCUACAGUCGUGUGGUAACAUGCGUCGCAGAUGAAUGAUCGUCGAAUCUUUACUAGAUUUACAGAACCCGGCUUAUAGGCCAACUCGAUUU
rnacentral:RNase_P_RNA from 1 species